UAUAUUACUUUAAAUACAGCACGGCAUCCUUUAACAAUUUGUUAAUUUGCUCAAAAUCGCUGCGCGGAGAUAUGUCGUUUGUGUUACGGUUCAAAACUGGUUCAAAACCAUUGACACGGCCGGACUUUUAAUAUUACCGCCGUUCUAUUCUAUUGGGGUAUAAAUGUAGAGUUGCCAUUUUUCGUGAAAUUUUGUUUGGUAGUCAUUUUUUCUGGUUUUGUGGUUUGUUAUCAUGUCAAAUAAUUCGAAUUAUUAUUUUAAUUGUGGCCCGCCGCAUCCCAACCGCAGACAGAUCCGCAGACAACUCCAUGGCAACUCCAGCAACAACAACAAAAGCAGCCCCCUGGCCAGCAUCCCCUGUAUCCCUGCGUGGGAGUGGGCGUCAGUGGGGCACCGACAAGUGCACGUCAAGCGGGACAACCGUACGGCAGUCAGUUGCAACAUCAGCCGAGUGCACCAGUGGAGUACCUUAAUUCCGUUCUGCAGGCUGAGCAGCAGCAACAACAAGAACAUCAGCCACAGCAACAGGGGCAGCAGCAAAUGCGCGCCCCCAACCGGGUGAAGACCAUUUUCUGUUCCAAUCUGACGGCAGGAUAGUUGCUCCAGCUGGCCCAACAGUCGGCCGCAGCCAACCCUGGCCAAUCCAGCGUCAGUGUGUUGCUGAUGACGCCCGUCCAGAGUUUGCCGGACAUUGUUCAGGCGCUGUCCAGCACCGUGGCCCAGAUCGUGCCAAUGUCGUCCUCAGACAUGGAAUUCGAGGAGCAUUCUCCAUUACCUGCACCGAACACGCCCACCCAGGCGCAUGGCCUGCCACCGAAGGACUACUAUCCUACGGCGUACAGCAACAACAGCAUCACCAAUAAUGUGGCGGCGCAGCAGCAGCAACAACAACAACAGCAGGCAACGGCAAUGUUGCUGGCGGACCAGCAGCAGCAACAGUUUGAUCCGUUUGCCAAUAUAUGUAUUUGGUGAUGCCAGUAGUCAGGCGGCGGCAUCGGCAUCGGCAUCGACAGCAUGGCGGAAGCAGUUAUCACCCUGCUUGGACACAACGGUGUGUGGCCAAGCCAGACUUACCAAACCGAAGAUGCUGGAGGUCCUCCUGUCCAGCCGCGAAUUAUGAAAAUUAUUCGAAAGGAAAAUACAUUUUAAGGGCGUUUUAGAGCUAUACGAAAAAUUUGGAUUGACAAUUACCCGCUCCGACUGCCGAAAACUAAGCACAGAGUUAGUUGAGCUCUGUCCGCAGGAGAAUCUGGAGUACUGGUGCCCAAAGAAUGCCGGGGGACCUACAUAUGUACGACUGUAUCCGUGAGCGCAAUAGGUCCGAGGACGAAAAAUACUGAGAAGAACAAAACAGAAAGAGAGGAGAGCUGCCAAGAGGAAACUAGAGGAGGAGGCGACAAGUGUCCAACACACACUCGAACAACUCUUAACCGAUUAGAUGGUUUCCUGAGCCUUGCCGAUCGAAUGCGAACAACAACCAGAACAACAAUGGAGCAGCCGGCGGAUCUGCCAAGUAGGCAUCCUUGAGGAUCAUCAUUGAUUCUCCUUCUUCUGAGGAUCGGACUCGCUGCCCGUCUCCGCCUCGCUCUCACCCGACUCGGAUUCAUGCGAUCCUAAUGUCAUGACAACUGCAAUUCCAUGACAGAUAAAAGACAAAUCCGAGACAGAUUUAAUCUCUCCAGACAUUAAGAAAGCAAUGAGAUUCCAAAGUUCAUUUUUUCCACUUUAGAGAAUUCUAGCUAAUAUUAGAGAACAUUAGAAGGUAAAUUCCGCUUUGGAAUCCUCAAUACUCCUUUUCAAUAAAACAACGAGGGGGAACGUUGUGAGUUGCUGCGGAGACCGCAAC